ACAAUCUUACAUAUUAUAAUACAUUACAUUUUUUUAUUUUAAUUUGAAUUCUGACAUGUGAUCAUUUUAACAGCAAUUGAAUGGCCAAAGACAUAAUAAGGUGUUGAGUGGGUAAAAAACUUUCUCCACACACAUUUCUUUAGAAAAACUAUAUUCUUAAACACUUAACCAUGGCUAAUUACAAUGAUUAGAGUUUAUUCUCUUGCACAAUGUAGAAU
rnacentral:lncRNA from 1 species